ensembl:lncRNA
UGGGGAUCAUAUUUAGGCAGCCAUUUCCCCACUAUGUUUUGUGGGAUGUUGUUUUUGUGUUGUUGCCUUUGAGCACUUCAUUUACAUCACGUUCGGUGUUUCUUUAUUUUGUAUUGUUCUAAGUUCCACUUCAAUAAAUAUGUGGAACCCAGAUCACGCAGUGCUUUGGUCCGAGUAUGCUUCCAACGAUGAUCGUGACACAUUGUCCAUUUGGAAGACCCAUUUGCAACCAAGCUUUAACUUCCUUACUGAUGUCUUGAGAUGUUGCUUCAAUAUAUCAACAAUUUUCCUUCCUCAUGACGCCAUCUAUUUUGUGAACUGCAUCAGUCCCUCCUGCAGCAAAGCACACCAACAACAUGAUGCUGCCACCCCUGUGCUUCACGGUUGGGAUGGUGUUCUUCGGCUUGCAAGCCUCCCCCUUUUUCCUCCAAACAUAAUGAUGGUCAUUAUGGCCAAACAGUUCUAUUUUUGUUUCAUCAGACCAGAGGACAUUUCUCCAAAAAUUACAAUCUUUGUCCCCAUGUGCAGUUGCAAACCGUAGUCUGGCUUUUUUAUGGCGGUUUUGGAGCAGUGGCUUCUUCCUUGCUGAGAGGCCUUUCAGGUUAUGUUGAUAUAGGACUCGUUUUACUGUGGAUAUAGAUACUUUUGUACCUGUUUCCUCCAGCAUCUUCACAAGGUCCUUUGCUGAUGUUCUGGGAUUGAUGCGCACUUUUCGCACACAAGUACGUUCAUCUCGAGGAGACAGAAUGCGUCUCCUUCCUGAGCGGUAUGAAGGCUGCGUGGUCCCAUGGUGUUUAUACUUGCGUACUAUUGAUUGCACUGAUGAAAGUGGUAUCAGGUGUUUGGAAAUUGCUCCCAAGGAUAAACCAGACUUGUGGAGGUCUACAAUAUUUUUUCUGAAGUCUUGGCUGAUUUCUUUUGAUUUUCCCAUGAGUUUGAAGUUCGAAGGUAGGCCUUGAAAUACAUCUACAGGUACACCUCCAAUAGACUCAAAUUAUGUCAAUUAGCCUAUCAGAAGUUUCUAAAGCCAUGACAUCCUUUCUGGAAUUUUCCAAGCUGUUUAAAGGCACAGUCAAUUUAUUGUAUGUAAACUUCUGACCCACUGGAAUUGUGAUACAGUGAAAUAAUCUGUCUGUAAACAAUUGUUGGAAAAAUUACUUGUGUCAUGCACAAAGUAGAUGUCCUAACCGACUUUCCAGAACUAUAGUUUAUUCACAAGAAAUUUGUGGAGUGGUUGAAAAAUGAGUUUUAAUGACUCAAACCUAAGUGUAUGUAAACUUCCGAGUUCAACAAUAUGUCUCAGUCUGUGAGUCAUGCCGUGGGUAGAGGUCGUUCCCAUGCUGGUUGUGUUGUUUCCCUGCUGGUAGAGGUGGAACUCCACAGAGGUGACUGGAAUGAAGAGGAGGCUUUGGUGUCUGUCUCUACCCUACCGCCUGGUGAGUGAGGUGUCUGUCUCUACCCUACCGCCUGGUGAGUGAGGUUUCUGUCUCUACCCUACCGCCUGGUGAGUGAGGUUUCUGUCUCUACCCUACCGCCUGGUGAGUGAGGUGUCUGUCUCUACCCUACCGCCUGGUGAGUGAGGUGUCUGUCUCUACCCUACCGCCUGGUGAGUGAGGUGUCUGUCUCUACCCUACCGCCUGGUGAGUGAGGUUUCUGUCUCUACCCUACCGCCUGGUGAGUGAGGUGUCUGUCUCUACCCUACCGCCUGGUGAGUGAGGUUUCUGUCUCUACCCUAUCGCCUGGUGAGUGAGGUGUCUGUCUCUACCCUAUCGCCUGGUGAGUGAGGUUUCUGUCUCUACCCUAUCGCCUGGUGAGUGAGGUGUCUGUCUCUACCCUACCGCCUGGUGACUAAGGUCUUCAAUGUGGAACAGAAACAUCACUAAACAAUGUUAGGCCAGGGAUGACCAGGGGUGUCCUGUGUUAUCUAAACAUUGUGUGUGAGUUAUCUGGAUGUUGUGUGUAUCCUCUGUGCUAGACUGUAGGGAAGAGACGUACCCCUGUACCAGGAUGUACUCUGUCCACCGGCCCAUCAAGAGAUGCAUCCACUCCCUCUGCCUUUACAGCCUCCCUCUAUGUGAUCAACAAGGAGAUAUGUGUUAGAACUGUCUGCCAACAGGAUGAGUACCUGAAGGCUGAGCUCUGCAGGGAGCGGUCCGGCUGGCCCAAACGCUUCCAGAGGUCAACCACCAAUAAGAAACGCUGUCACAAUCGCCGCGGCAAUCCCAAAAUCUGGGAAAACAAGGCCUGAUGGGCCCAAGACGGAGGAGUUAGAAGGAGGGGUGGAGGAGGAAGGAGAGGAGGACAGAAAGAGAGAAGGAGGGGUGGAGGAGGAAGGAGAGAAGGAGUAGGAGGGAGGACACCCUUGGAGACAGAACACUGGGUUGUCUCCAUAAAAAGACCCGGAAACACCAUAAAUUCCCCGCUCAACACCUGGUGCUAGCCUGUGCCUUAAUACACAACCACAACCACGCACGCACACACACAAACAAUAUAUAUUUAAAACACAGUCCACGUGACUCCAGUUAAGAGCAGUCUGAGUCAUAUUUUUCAUUUCUUCUAUUGGACCUGUGUUUUAAUAGAACUGUCUGUGAAUAUCAGGGGAGAAAUCACUCCCCACAGAUUGGACCUGUGUUUUAAUAGAACUGUCUGUGAAUAU